UACGUAGGGACCAAGCGUUGUUCGGAUUUACUGGGCGUAAAGGGCGCGUAGGCGGCAAUUCAAGUCAUCUGUGAAAUCUCCGAGCUUAACUCGGAACGGUCAGAUGAUACUGCUUUGCUAGAGUGCAGAAGGGGCAAUCGGAAUUCUUGGUGUAGCGGUGAAAUGCGUAGAUAUCGAGAGGAACACCUGCGGCGAAGGCGGGUUGCUGGGCUGACACUGACGCUGAAGUGCGAAAGCUAGGGGAGCGAACGGG
rnacentral:rRNA from 1 species